rnacentral:rRNA from 1 species
GUGCACCAGUCGCGAAUCUUCCUCAAUGCCCGCAAGGGUGAAGGAGCGACGCCGCGUGCAGGAAGACGCAUUUCGGUGUGUAAACUGCUUUUCCGUCCGAAGAAAUUGUGCCUUUCGGGGUGCAUUUGACGGUAGGACGGGAAUAAGGACCUCCUAAUUUCGUGCCAGCAGGAGCGGUAAAUACGAAAGGUCCAAGCGUUAUCCGGUUUUAUUGGGCGUAAAGCGUCCGCAGGCGGUUUAAGAAGUUUUCGGUCAAAUCCCGGGGCCCAACCCCGGAACUGCUAGAAAAAACUCUUAAACUAGGAGGGUGGGAGAGGCCAGUGGAAUGGCUGGUGUAGGAGUCAAAAUCCGUU